rnacentral:ncRNA from 1 species
UGACCUCAGUUUAGAUGAGACUACCCGCUGAACUUAAGCAUAUCAGUAAGCGGAGGAAAAGAAACUAACAAGGAUUCCCUUAGUAGCGGCGAGCGAACAGGGAUGAGCCCAGCACCGAACCUCGCGCCCGGUUGAGCGGGUGCCGAGGAAUGUGGUGUUCGGGAGGAUCGUGCGCGCCUGUCCGGUAUAUAUCGUCCAAGUCU